rnacentral:rRNA from 1 species
GACGAACGCUGGCGGCGUGCUUAACACAUGCAAGUCGAACGGAAAGGCCCUGCUUUUGUGGGGUGCUCGAGUGGCGAACGGGUGAGUAACACGUGAGUAACCUGCCCUUGACUUUGGGAUAACUUCAGGAAACUGGGGCUAAUACCGGAUAGGAGCUCCUGCUGCAUGGUGGGGGUUGGAAAGUUUCGGCGGUUGGGGAUGGACUCGCGGCUUAUGAGCUUGUUGGUGGGGUAGUGGCUUACCAGGGCUUUGACGGGUAGCCGGCCUGGGAGGUUGACCGGCGACAUUGGGACUGAGGUACGGCGCAGACUCCUACGGGAGGCAGCAGGGGGAAAUAUUGCGCAACGGGCGGAAGCCAGAUGCAGAGACGCCGCGUGCGGGAUACCGGCCUUCGGGUUGUAAACCGCUUUCGCCUGUGACGAAGCGUGAGUGACGGUAAUGGGUAAAGAAGCACCGGCUAACUACGUG